GUUGCGGUGUCCGAGUGGUUAAGGCGUUGGACUUGAAAUCCAAUGGGAUCUUCCCGCGAAGGUUCGAACCCUGCCCGUAACG
rnacentral:tRNA from 2 species